rnacentral:lncRNA from 1 species
UGUUCAGCUUCUCCUCCAGGUUAUCCAUCUCCCCCCACACACCUUUUCCUGCUCUCUCUGUACUCAGAGUCUCUAGCCUCUGAAAGUUAUGUCUCUGUCUCCUAGUGGGCUCUGCCUGCAACCCUCUCCCCCCCAGGCCCCUGAUUGCUUGAAUUGUCUCAUUUGGUGGAGGAUGCAGUUCCUUACUAGAGGGUGUAGGGGGUGCAUGGCCUGAAUGGAAGAGAGAGACCCAGAUGCACAGAGAAAUGAGGCAGGGUUGAGUGAGGGGUUGAUGAGAUUGAGGGGUGAACAGGUAUAACAGCUCGCCGCAGGUUUGAACCCUGUAUUUCUGAUCCCUGAGGACCAGGCGCCUCCCCCCCCCCCCCCCCGCCCCCAGCUAAAAGCAAGAGAGUGCAUUAGGUAAGAAAAUACCCAGUUGAUCCCGUAUUAUGGGGUCCUCAGCCCCUACCUCCCAGCAUGUAAUCCUCAUACCCAGUUCCUGGUACCCAGUAUAGAUCAAUAAAAGAAUGAAUACAAUGAAAGCUUUAUUGAUCAUCUACUAUGUGUUGGGUGAUCACUGUUCUAGUCUGCAAGAUUUGUAAAACAUGGCUCCUGACCUCAAAGAUCUACAAUCUGGUGGAAACCCCAUUAUUUCCCCUUUCCAUGGAGAUGAUAUUUGAAAUUUUCACUCUAGUGCUCAGGAAUCACCCUCGGUCUGUCCCGUGGGUGUGGGGUCUUUUCCUGCAUCCUCCAAUGCCCCAGGACCACCUCCCAGGCAAGCUAAUUCAGUAUCCACCGAAUUAUAUUUCCCAGCCCCUCUCUUCCAGCCUACCAAACCCCGUCAAGUGUGGAGUUAAGUUUACCUGGAAGCUCAGGAAGUUUAAGCUUCAGGCCCCCUCACCUGCUUGACUCCUCCCACCACCCUGGUUAAUGAGUGCCAUCAAUUUAAACAGUUUUCAAGCAGUUAUUUAUUGAACAUUUACUACGGGCCACAGGAUUGGGGACCCAAAGUCAUCCUCUGCUUUCCAGGGCUUGACAGCCCAGGGGUAGAAAUAGCCAUGAAACC